rnacentral:rRNA from 1 species
UCCUGGCUCAGAUUGAACGCUGGCGGCAUGCCUUACACAUGCAAGUCGAACGGCAGCGGACCUUCGGGUGCCGGCGAGUGGCGAACGGGUGAGUAAUAUAUCGGAACGUACCUUUCAGUGGGGAUAACGUAGCGAAAGUUACGCUAAUACCGCAUAUUCUGUGAGCAGGAAAGCAGGGGGAUCGCAAGACCUUGCGCUGAUUGAGCGGCCGAUAUCAGAUUAGCUAGUUGGUGAGGUAAAGGCUCACCAAGGCGACGAUCUGUAGCGGGUCUGAGAGGAUGAUCCGCCACACUGGAACUGAGACACGGUCCAGACUCCUACGGGAGGCAGCAGUGGGGAAUUUUGGACAAUGGGCGCAAGCCUGAUCCAGCCAUGCCGCGUGAGUGAAGAAGGCCUUCGGGUUGUAAAGCUCUUUCGGCCGGGAAGAAAUCGCACAGGUUAAUACCCUGUGUGGAUGACGGUACCGGAAUAAGAAGCACCGGCUAACUACGUG